UGGGGAAUCUUGCACAAUGGGGGCAACCCUGAUGCAGCGACGCCGCGUGAGCGAUGAAGCCCUUCGGGGCGUAAAGCUCUUUCGACCGGAACGAUAAUGACGGUACCGGGAGAAGAAGCUGCGGCUAACUACGUGCCAGCAGCCGCGGUAAUACGUAGGCAGCAAGCGUUGUUCGGAGUUACUGGGCGUAAAGAGUGCGUAGGCGGUUUUCUAAGUUCGGUGUGAAAUCUCCCGGCUUAACUGGGAGGGUGCGCCGAAGACUGGGAAGCUGGAGUGUGGGAAAGGAAGGCGGAAUUCCUGGUGUAGCGGUGAAAUGCGUAGAUAUCAGGAGGAACACCGGCGGUGUAGACGGCUUGCUAGACCAUAACUGACGCUGAGGCACGAAAGCGUGGGUAGCAAACA
rnacentral:rRNA from 1 species